rnacentral:lncRNA from 1 species
GUCAGCAUUUACGUAGUGAUGUGUGGCUCGAGUUAUGAGACCACCGAUUCACGGCCUGCGCUUGCCUCUCUCUGAGAAGCUGAGAAGGCAGUAAACCUCCAUCACUCUGCAGUAUUGAAAUCUCAGAUUAUUCAAGGUACUCCGGGCACAUUUAGCAUGGAACUGUCCUAUAACUUGGAUUGAAAUGAAAACCGCCCCGUGGCGGGAGUCCCUGGAGGAAGUAGGGAGUUGCAUGAGGGGAGUCUGCAGUCCUAAGCAAGAGGGAUGGGGAGAGACUCUGCGGUGCUUUGAUAAACAAUGAACUUAAAAGGAAAGAAAGUGAGGUUUAUAGUUGACGCUGAGUCUGUCGUUCAGUCAGCCCAGCUUGGGCUCCAGACAUGUGAGUCAAGAAGCCAUCUUGAAAAUGGACUCUCCAGCCCUAGCUGUCCCCACCACCAGCCAUUCAGAUCGCUCCCCACUGCGUGAGUGGUCCCAGCUGAAGCCUCAGAUACCGCGGAGCAGAGAAGGCUGUCCCCUUUGUCCUUUCUGAAUUCCUGACCCAAAGAAUCCAUGUGCCUAAUAAAAUGGUUGUCGGGGCGCUUGGGUGGCUCAGUCCAUUAAGCGUCUGCCUUUGGCUCAAGUCAUGGUCCUGGGGUCCUGGGAGCAAGUUCCACAUCGGGCUCCCUGCUGAGUAGGGAGCCUGCUCUUUCCUCUGCCUGCUGUUCCCCCUGCUUGUGCUUGCUCUCUCUGACAAAUAAAUAAAAUCUCUUAAAUAAAAUAAAAUGGUUGUUGCUUCCUACCACUGAGUCUGGGGGUGGCUUGUUAUGCUAUAAUACAUAAAAGGAACACUGGGUCAUCUCAGCCUGGCCUGGGACCCUUUUAGCUCCACUGCAGGAUGACGGUUGACCCCGCUACCUCUGGCUGCUUCUGCACCC